AUUGAACGCUGGCGACAGGCCUAACACAUGCAAGUCGAGCGAGCGGCGGACGGGUGAGUAAUGUAUGGGGACUGCCCGAUAGAGGGGGAUACCUACUGGAAACGGUAGCUAAUACCGCAUACUAUCGGAUAACCCAUAUGGGAUUAGCUAGUAGGUGAGGUAAUGGCUCACCUAGGCGACGCUCCCUAGCUGGUUUGAGAGGAUGAUCAGCCAAACGGGGACUGAGACACGGCCCAGACUCCUACGGAGGCAGCAGUGGGGAAUAUUGCACAAUGGGCGCAAGCCGGAUGCAGCAAUGCCGCGUGUAUGAAGAAGGCCCUAGGGUUGUAAAGUACUUUCAGUCGGGAGGCGUUACCGACAGAAGAAGCACCGGCUAACUCCGUGCCAGCCGCCGCGGUAAUUC
rnacentral:rRNA from 1 species